CCUACGGGAGGCAGCAGUGAGGAAUAUUGGUCAAUGGACGCAAGUCUGAACCAGCCAUGCCGCGUGCAGGAAGACGGCUCUAUGAGUUGUAAACUGCUUUUGUACGAGGGUAAACGCAGAUACGCGUAUCUGUCUGAAAGUAUCGUACGAAUAAGGAUCGGCUAACUCCGUGCCAGCAGCCGCGGUAAUACGGAGGAUUCAAGCGUUAUCCGGAUUUAUUGGGUUUAAAGGGUGCGUAGGCGGUCGGAUAAGUUAGAGGUGAAAUCCCGAGGCUCAACUUCGGAAUUGCAUCUGAUACUGUUCGGCGAGAGAGUAGUUGCGGUAGGCGGAAUGUAUGGUGUAGCGGUGAAAUGCUUAGAGAUCAUACAGAACACCGAUUGCGAAGGCAGCUUACCAGGCUACUUCUGACGUUGAGGCACGAAAGCGUGGGGAGCAAACAGGAUUAGAUACCCCAGUAGUC
rnacentral:rRNA from 1 species